ACUAACGAGGAUUCCCUCAGUAGCGGCGAGCGAACAGGGAGAAGCCCAGCUUGAAAAUCGCAGCGCUCCGCGAUGCGAGUUGUAGUCUGGAGAAGUGUCCUCUGCAGCGGACCCGGUCUAAGUCCUCUGGAAAGGGGCGUCAGAGAGGGUGAGAACCCCGUCGGGCCGGGACCCUGCUGCUCCACGAGGCACUGUCGACGAGUCGGGCUGUUUGGGAAUGCAGCCCUAAGUGGGAGGUAAAUUCCUUCCAAGGCUAAAUACGGGCGGGAGACCGAUAGCGAACAAGUACCGCGAGGGAAAGAUGAAAAGGACUUUGAAAAGAGAGUUAAAAAGUGCUUGAAAUUGCUGGGAGGGAAGCGAAUGGAGGCCUCGUGUGCGCCCCGGUCGGAUGCGGAACGGCGAGAGCUGGUCCGCCGCUCGACGCGGGGUGCUGGUCGGCGUGGGCUUCUUCGGCGGGAGAAAAGUCGGCCUUUUGUGGCCGGCCGAUGCCGUCGGGGAGGCUGAGGAUCCGAAGUGCGCGCUCUUCGGGGCGAGUUUUUUUUUUUUUAAAAAAAAAAAGCAUCCUGCGUGCUCGGGACGUCGGCGUUGUGGGCUUUUCAUCCGACCCGUCUUGAAACACGGACCAAGGAGUCUAACAUGCGCGCGAGUCGGUGGGCGGCAAACCCACGCGAGGCGAAAAUAACUUGAGAGGUGUGAUCUCUUCCCCCUCGCCCCCUUCGCGGGGGGCGAGCAGAGGGAGUGCAACAUCGACCGACCAUGAUCUUCUGUGAAAGGUUCGAGUGAGAGCGUGCCUGUUGGGACCCGAAAGAUGGUGAACUAUGCCUGAGCAGGGCGAAGCCAGAGGAAACUCUGGUGGAGGCUCGUAGCGAUACUGACGUGCAAAUCGUUCGUCAGACUCGGGUAUAGGGGCGAAAGACUAAUCGAACCAUCUAGUAGCUGGUUCCCUCCGAAGUUUCCCUCAGGAUAGCCGGAGCAGUCGAGGAGUUUCGUCAGGUAAAGCGAAUGAUUAGAGGCAUCGGGGGUGAAACACCCUCGACCUAUUCUCAAACUUUAAAUAGGCGAGAUCUGGAUGGGGUUGCUCGAGUGAACCCCCGGCGAUCAU
rnacentral:rRNA from 1 species